GAUGAACGCUGGCGGCGUGCCUAAUACAUGCAAGUCGAGCGAACAGAUGAGGAGCUUGCUCCUCUGACGUUAGCGGCGGGCGGGUGAGUAACACGUGGAUAACCUACCUAUAAGACUGGUAUAACUUCGGGACACCGGAGCUUAUACCGGAUAAUAUCUUGAACCGCAUGGUUCAAUAGUGAAAGACGGUUUUGCUGUCACUUAUCGCUGGAUCCCGGCCGCAUUAGCUAGUUGGUAAGGUAACGGCUUACCAAGGCAACGAUGCGUAGCCGACCUGAGGGAGGGAUCGGCCACACUGGAGCUUAAACAGGGUCCAGACUCCUACGGGAGGCAGCAGUAGGGAAUCUUCCGCAAUGGGCGAAAGCCUGACGGAGCAACGCCGCGUGAGUGAUGAAGGUGUUCGGAUCGUAAAACUCUGUUAUUAGGGAAGAACAAAUGUGUAAGUAACUAUGCACGUCUUGACGGUACCUAAUCAGAAAGCCACGGCUAACUACGUG
rnacentral:rRNA from 1 species